rnacentral:rRNA from 1 species
CACCGCCCGUCACACCAUGGGAGUGGUUUGCACCAGAAGGCAGUAGCUUAACGAAAGAGGGCGCUGACCACGGUGUGGAUCAUGACUGGGGUG